UACGUAGGGUGCAAGCGUUGUCCGGAAUUAUUGGGAGUAAAGAGUUCGUAGGCGGUGUGUUGAGUUGGUUGUGAAAACCCGGGGCUCAACUCCGGGCCUGCAGCCGAUACGGGCAGACUAGAGUUCGGCAGGGGAGACUGGAAUUCCUGGUGUAGCGGUGAAAUGCGCAGAUAUCAGGAGGAACACCGGUGGCGAAGGCGGGUCUCUGGGCCGAUACUGACGCUGAGGAGCGAAAGCGUGGGGAGCAAACAGG
rnacentral:rRNA from 1 species